CCCACGACGACGUGAUUUCUGAAGGAAGCCGGUGGCAAACCUCCAUCCCGACGAACAGGAACCCCAAAGGAGUGGACCCUACUUGGAUUAGUCUUAUAAACAAGACAACUAUGCUACAAAUGGAGCGGGUUGAUGGAGGGAAAGACCGUAUU
rfam:Desmospora sp. 8437 genomic scaffold SCAFFOLD1, whole genome shotgun sequence.